UGGGGAAUAUUUCACAAUGGGCGCAAGCCUGAUGCAGCCAUGCCGCGUGUAUGAAGAAGGCCUUCGGGUUGUAAAGUACUUUCAGCGGGGAGGAAGGGAGUAAAGUUAAUACCUUUGCUCAUUGACGUUACCCGCAGAAGAAGCACCGGCUAACUCCGUGCCAGCAGCCGCUGUAAUACGGAGGGUGCAAGCGUUAAUCGGAAUUACUGGGCGUAAAGCGCACGCAGGCGGUUUGUUAAGUCAGAUGUGAAAUCCCCGGGCUCAACCUGGGAACUGCAUCGGAUACUGGCGAGCUUGAGUCUCGUAGAGGGGGGUAGAAUUCCAGGGGUAGCGGUGAAAUGCGUGGAGAUCUGGAGGAAUACCGGUGGCGAAGGCGGCCCCCUGGACGAAGACUGACGCUCAGGUGCGAAAGCGUGGGGAGCAAACAGG
rnacentral:rRNA from 1 species